CAUUCAACAUACUGGUGUUUAUGACGUUGAUAUUCAACGUCAUAAACAUUUAACUUAGAUGUUUAUGACGUUGACAUCAACGUCAUAAACAUUCAACUUUG